rnacentral:rRNA from 1 species
CUGCUGCCUCCCGUAGGAGUUUGGGCCGUGUCUCAGUCCCAAUGUGGCCGUCCACCCUCUCAGGCCGGCUACUGAUCGUCGCCUUGGUGGGCCUUUACCCCGCCAACCAGCUAAUCAGACGCGGGUCCAUCCCAUACCACCUUGGUUUUCAAACAAAAAGCAUGCGCUUUCUGUUGUUAUGCGGUAUUAGCACCUAUUUCUAAGUGUUAUCCCCCUGUACUGGGCCAGGUUACCCACGCGUUACUCACCCGUCCGCCACUAAGCCUUUCCCUUUCCG